AACCUGAUUGCAAAAUGGAAAAAGGUUAGCUUUAGCAAUUAUGUUUGUGUGUAUUUGUAUUACUACAUGUAGUGGCAUUUAUUUGUGUUCGGGAAGUUUGAACUGAUCUAUGACUUCCUACAGCAUUAAAAUUUUCCUCUUUUGCUGAAUUAUGAUAUUUUUAUAUCUUGAAAUAUACUUUUGGAAAAUUUCGUUACUGUCAAUGCCCUAUUGAGCUGUCAACAUGGAUGGAUCAGUUGUGGUAAUGAUAUGGAUAAAUCUAUAUUUGUUAUGAUAUUUUUAUUUGGCAACUUGAAUUUAGUUGAAAAUGACAUCGAUUUUUAGUUAUAAUUUUUAAGAUUACCAGUAAAUUUUAUUUAGUUAUUUCAAAAUAAAAUUGGAAUAGUUUUUGUAGGAAUUAGACAUAUAUUUACAAGGCUAACCAAACAUAUAGUAAGAUUCCUUCCAUGAUUGGUUGGCUUAUGCUUUCUGGGUUUUGUGAAUCUAGUAAUGGAUAGAAGCAGGGCCUGUUUGGUCCAUAAGAAAUUUAGAAACUUCUUUUUAUGGUGUCCAUUUGUUUGAAUUACAGCCAGGAUAUGAACGACUCU
rnacentral:misc_RNA from 1 species